rnacentral:rRNA from 1 species
CCUACGGGUGGCUGCAGUGAGGAAUAUUGGUCAAUGGGCGCGAGCCUGAACCAGCCAAGUAGCGUGAAGGAUGACUGCCCUACGGGUUGUAAACUUCUUUUAUAAAGGAAUAAAGUGAGGCACGUGUGCCUUUUUGAAGUUCUUUUAUGAAUAAGAAUCGGCUACCUCCUGCCAAGCAGCGGCGGUAAAACGGAGGAUCCGAGCGUUAUCCGGAUUUAUGGGGUUUAAAGGGAGCGUAGAUGGUUUGUUAAGUCAGUUGUGAAAGUUUGCGGCUCAACCGUAAAAUUGCAAUUGAUACUGGCAGUCUUGAGUACAGUUGAGGUAGGCGGAAUUCGUGGUGUAGCGGUGAAAUGCUUAGAUAUCACGAAGAACUCCGAUUGCGAAGGCAGCUUACUAAACUGCCACUGACAUUGAUGCUCGAAAGUGUGGGUAUCAAACAGGAUUAGAUACCCUUGUAGUC